rnacentral:rRNA from 1 species
GAAAUGCGAUAAGUAGUGUGAAUUGCAGAAUUCAGUGAAUCAUCGAAUGUUUGAAUGCAMCUUGCGCUCCUUGGCUAUCCUCGGAGCAUGCCUGUUUGAGUGUCAUUAAGUUAUCAAAACUGCUGUCAUAGUAAAAUAGGUGUGGGCAGUUUUGGAUAAAUGGGAUGUGCAGGUGUGAUUUAUACCAGCCAGCUAUCCUGAAAUGUAUACAAGCAAUGUCAGUCGCCGACGUUCAUGUUUGGUGUGAUAAGAAAAUACCACCAGCGUGGAAAGGUCUAUAUUGAUAAUGCUAGAAAAACAUACUUUGAUUAAUUAAAACUUGACCUCAAAUCAGGUAGGAUUACCCGCUGAACUUAA